GCUGAAGUGACGGAAUUGGUAGACGUGCAGCGUUCAGAGCGCUGUGUCAGUAAUGGCGUGCGGGUUCGACUCCCGCCUUCAGCACCA
rnacentral:tRNA from 1 species